GACGAACCGUCCAAACGUUGUUCGGAAUCACUGGGCUUAAAGGGCGCGUAGGCGGGCCAGAGGGUCCGGGGUGAAAUCUUUCGGCUUAACCGGAAAAGUGCCUUGGAAACCGCUGGUCUAGAGGGAGGUAGGGGCAUGUGGAACUUCUGGUGGAGCGGUGAAAUGCGUUGAUAUCAGAAGGAACGCCGGUGGCGAAAGCGAGGUCCUGGACGUCUUCUGACGCUGAGACGCGAAAGCUAGGGGAGCAAACGGG
rnacentral:rRNA from 1 species